UAGUGGAAGUUUUUUUUUUAUUAGAAAUAAAUGAAGUGGGCAAGCCACUUUCAUGAUGUUGCCAGGAAUGAGUGGCAUAAAAUGGAAGUUUUUUUUGGUUUACACGGAAAGAAGGCAAAAGAUAGAAAAAGAGAAGGAAACAGGCGAAAGGAAUUGUGAGAUUUCUAUUCCAAAUUAGGAUGUGUUCUUGCAGUAUACAUUUGUUUCAGUGCUUGCCUAUUUUCCCAUUCCCAUAUAUAUAAGUAGGGUUUGACAUGUCAAAAUAUAACAUUAAAAACAAAUUAGAGCAAAAGUGACUGGACGGCGUCAACAACAAACAAUUGAAGGCUUCAGAUUUUGAUCAUUCAGAGGCUCUACGCAAAGGGAAGGCAUUAGUUUGAUUGUUCGUGGCACCCGCUCGGCAUUGAGUACGAUCCAGGCUCCAGUUCUACACCCCGUGGCUGAUACGCGAGGGUGAUAUCUUUCAGUCAUUCAGGAUUUUGCUGGAAAUUUCCAGAUUUUGGAGAGAGAGAGAGAGGAAAACCAAAAGUAAGCAAUUUUCAAGCGACGGAGUAUUAAUCGAAGCUCGGAUACACGCAUAGAGGUGAUUCUAGCAUGGUUUUGCGGUGGAUUCAAGGUGGAUAUUAAAGAUAUCACCGUGUUAACAAAAAUAAGGCAUAUAAAUAGGGGAGAUGCUGCCGAAAUUUCGGCAGAUUCCAGAGUGAUUUAUUUGAAGGACUAAGACGAGCAUUGAGUAGUCAAAGUUAAGGCGACCAAAAAGGUGUAUAUAGAUGAGUAGAGGAUGUUGCUAGAAGCUGUUCCAGCUGGAUUGGCGAGCUCCAUUUCCUUCCGGAGUGUUGCCGAGUCAGAGUAUCUAUGUUAUGGUAUUUUGAUUGAUGUUAGAGACUUUGCAGACAGGGUCACGUAUAUAGCAUGUCAGUCUUGUAAGCGGCUCUGCAAGCUGAUGUAUCAUUAUGCAUUAUGUUACAAAUUUCAUAUGACUACAGAUUUUACUUGAUUUGAGAAAGACGAAAAGAAUGUUUUUGAAAAGCUCUCAUUAUGCAUUUCAUUUCGUGAUUUAAGAGUCCAGUGAGAUUAUGAACAUAACAAGAACCAACGGGGUUCGCUCGGCCCUGAGUAAGGGGUCGGGUGCCCAUCAUGCCCUAUCAGGAUUGGGGUGUGACACCAUUCUCACGCAUAAAAUUUUGAGUGUAAUGUUUAAGCCUUGAUCGAGAUAUACACAUUUCAUAUGU